UGUUAUUAAGCUAAUAACGUUUCCAAUAAAAUAUCGUUUAUUUUCAUUUCACAUUUUAUUCCAAUAAGACGUAUUAUAGUAUUAUAAUUUUUUAAUAAAAGAUGAUUGUUUCAAAACAUCAUCUUCGACUUUUAGUAAAUAUUAUUUUAAAUUACAUUUUCAAAAUUUUAAUUUUAAUUUUAAUCAUGUUUGUAAUCGUAGGUCGGAGUAUUAGUCAUUUAUUGCUGUAUUGAAUCCACUGUUGGAUCAAUUCGUGGUGUGUUGCAAUGAGAUCCAAUCGAGCAAACGAGGAAACAUUUUAGUGGUCCCUCGUUGACUAAAUCCAAAACUAGACUACCGAUGCUUCAACGUCAUCUGAUAUUACGUCUGAUACCACUCGGGUCGAUACAACAAUGUCCGAUACAACUAUCUCGCCAACUGAUGAAACAGUUACACCGAAAAGCCACCGUCGUUGAACAAUUAUUUGGACUAGAAAAACGUCUGGAACGACAGAAGAACCACCGUCGACGAUAACGGAAGCAGGAAAGACAGAUGCACUAUAUUAUUAACUAUAACUGCUGCUAAACAUCUAUAAUGAUAAUAUACAAAUUUGUAGACGAAUAAACAUUACUACAAAUUUGUAUAAAAUAAACGAAAUUGAGUUCGCUCAAGAAUAAAAUAAAAAGAAUAAUACGAGCACUUAUUAUAUUAUAUUAUAUGUACCUUGUGCGUUUAUGCUGCGCGUACAGUUCAUAACGUUUUAUCCUAUUUUUGCAAUACUUUAUUUUUAUUUUUAUUUUAUCCAAAAAUGAU